rnacentral:lncRNA from 1 species
UGUCUAAAUCAAAUAUACUGAAUGAGAUAUAAACAUAAAUAAAUUUUUUUUUUUUUUUUUUUUUUUUUUUUUUUGAUAACAUCAACAUAUAAAUUAAUGCUUUCAUAAUUGUGAGUAUGAAUCUCUUGCUAAGCUUUUCCUACGAAUCUAUAGCAAAAGCAACAAAAUAUGAAUUUGAAAAAUCAGCUUUACAUUUCGUUUACAAAAAAAAAAUCAGCUUCACAUAUAUAUAGUUUUCAAAUUAUAAAAGUUUUCCUCCUAUUGCUUAGGUUUCAUUUAAUUUGUUUGAG